AUAGGACCUGGCCAAUUGCCAGUUUAGCCAGCAGAGGAAUGGGGCAACAGCUGAGGCCUAGGGAGGAUUGAUUGAUUGAUUUACUUACUGACUGACUGACUUUGCUGAGGAAGAUUGGCCCUGAGCUAACAUCUGUUGCCAAUUUUCCUCUUUUUGCUUGAGAAAGAUUGUCCCUGAGCUAACAUCUGUGCCAAUCUUGCUCUAUUUUAUACAUGGGACACCACCACAAUGUGGCUUGACAAGCAGUAUGUGGGUCUGUCCCAGGAUCCGAACCCCAAAACCCGGGGCCACCAGAGCGGAGCAUGCGAACUUCGCCACUAUACCACCAGGCCAGCCCCAGAGGGAAGAUUUUUAAAGAGAGAAGUUUUCAAGCUUCUCCCAGCGGCAUCUUUGGAAAAUGCUGUAGCGUUAACAGCACCUCCGGGGUCUCCGUUCUUCUGUAGGAUAAUGCAGCAGAAGAUCUGUGGGGGGAGCCGCCUCGUCUACACGACAUCCACCCAGAGAAGUGAGCAGUGUAGUGAAAAGAACACUGGCCUUGGAUGCAGAACGCAGGAGCCUGAUACCAGCCAGGGGAGUGUGCUAACUGGGUCAGAGAAGAAGGAGUAUACAUUCCCAUUUUCCAGAAGCUACAUAAUGUGUGAUAGCACAGAAGACCGACCGCAGAAGCAGAUGAGGAAGCCGAAGCUGAGCAAGUUGACGUAACGUGCCACCUACUAAGUGGAAGCGCUGGAUUCUGGCUCCUCGACCUUUGCUCUGAAGUACAGCUGUGUAGGGAGCUAGACGGUUGGGCGCACCACCUGGAGUCGACCCCAGGUGCCUGGAUCACUGCGAAUUUGUGCGCUAGAGCCAAUUUCAAAUGCUUUCUGAGGAAAAGCCUGGUAGAGUGGAGAAUCCCCCUGGGCUCACCUCCAGAAGAGGGAUGGCUGGCUAGAGAGGCGAGUCCCCAGGCUCCUCAGUUUCCAUCGGGGAACAGCUGAGCCUGCUCCCCGCUGGCUGCCAUUACCUCGCAAGGGAGGAAGACGUCGGUGACCCUCCCAGGCACCUUAGGGCAGCCCAAUCCCCCCCCCCCACCUCCUCCCUGUAUUUGUCACAGGAAUAGUUUGCAUUUCUUUGCUUCAAGGACAUAUGGC
rnacentral:lncRNA from 1 species